rnacentral:hammerhead_ribozyme from 1 species
CGCCGAAACGCGGGGAUGACCCGCGUCGCCCGGGCGCGUGAGACCCGGGCCUGACGAGGCAACACGAA